rnacentral:rRNA from 1 species
GACGAACGCUGGCGGCGUGCUUAACACAUGCAAGUCGAACGGAAAGGCCUGCUUUUGUGGGGUGCUCGAGUGGCGAACGGGUGAGUAACACGUGAGUAACCUGCCCUUGACUUUGGGAUAACUUCAGGAAACUGGGGCUAAUACCGGAUAGGAGCUCCUGCUGCAUGGUGGGGGUUGGAAAGUUUCGGCGGUUGGUGAUGGACUCGCGGCUUAUCAGCUUGUUGGUGGGGUAGUGGCUUACCAAGGCUUUGACGGGUAGCCGGCCUGAGAGGGUGACCGGCCACAUUGGGACUGAGAUACGGCCCAGAAUCCUACGGGAGGCAGCAGUGGGGAAUAUUGCACAAUGGGCGGAAGCCUGAUGCAGCAACGCCGCGUGCGGGAUGACGGCCUUCGGGUUGUAAACCGCUUUCGCCUGUGACGAAGCGUGAGUGACGGUAACGGGUAAAGAAGCACCGGCUAACUACGUG